AGUAGGUUCUCGCUUUCAAAAAAAUUUCCCCAAAUUUUCAAUGAAUUUUUUUUCUUCUCUUUGACAACAGCCAUACCGAAGGACGAUUUCUUCUACCUAAUGCAUCUUCAAAUCGUGGAUCUUGUUCUCGUUUCUCUUUUGACCGUCUUUGCUUCUACUCCUUUCCUCACAUUUUCAUCGUUUAGUUGCUUAGAAAGAUAACGAUUCCAGUUAAGAUUUGCAUCAACUCUUCAACGUCCCUAUAGAGGUAGGAGAAAAAAGUCGUAACAUGCUUCUUCCACUGAAGAUGGGUGGCGUAACAUGCUUCCUUUAUCAUGGAAUUUUUUUUUUUUUCAAGAAUAGGAGGACUGGGAUAUGCUUAAACCAUUUCUGAUUCUCAAGUUUCACUCUGUCACUCCCAACUCUGCUACUUUGCUUCAUGCAUUCAAGAUCACAGAUGUAUGCCUCAAAGAGUCAAACUAGGCAAGGGUAGCUGCCGAAGCAAUGGCUGUCCUUCUGGCCUCUCAUAUGUGUUGCGAGAUGGGGUUACAAGAAGUCUUGUUGGAGGGCGAUGCCAACGUGGUUGUUGACGCUGUGAAUGCAAGAGAAUCAGUGUGGACUCAUUGGGACACCUGGUUGAGGAUAUUUUUCAGACGUUGCAAGCUAUUCCGUGCUAGAAGUAGGGGUAUGUUCGAAGAGAAGCCAAUAAAGCUGCACAUGCGUUGGCACGUCUAGCAGCAAAACAGGAAAUGGAUAAAGAGUGGUUGAAUGAUCUACCGGAAAGUCUUUUACUGAUAAUUGUAUCUGAGCUUUGAGUUUGUUGCAAUUGAUUUAUGAAA